CUAAUAUUCUUUUCAUUUCACAACUCAAGGGAGGUAACCUCUAUUUCCUUGAUUUUAUUUUUCCUACGUGCUCCUACGUGUUAUGUGAAUAUGCAUGUCUACUUUGCUUUACUUGCCUUCCCUUAAUUCCUUGCAUUUAUUUCAUCUACUUUUUCUUUUAUUUAAGUUAUUCAUUAUGGGGUAUGUGUACACCUCUUGGCUUGUAAUAGAUAGGGCUGUGGCGAGCAAUUUGGUCCAUUUUCCCCUUCCCCUUUUGUUUUAGUUAGUGAAUGUAAUAAGUUCAUUAGCUUGGUUGCAUGCCUAUGUGUUACUUGUUACUUGCUUUAUUAGGGCCUUGCAUCUAGUCGGGCAUGCUAAAUGUUACGUGCUACGUGUUUAUGAGUAUCUGGUAUGUCUACUUGCUUUCCAUAGUGUGGAUGCAUGGAAUGGAUGAAUGUACGUCACUACACUAGUCCAACGCUAGUUGUGGCUUCUUUUAUCGUUUCCACUAGUCCAACGCUAGUCGGAAUUCAUAGAAUGGGCUAGUCCAACGCUAGACCCAAUAGGCUUUUUCCUUUCUUUUCAUUCGUGCAUAAUUUGCAUGUUCACUACAUAUCAUGCAAUUUUCCUUAGUUUUAUCAUUUGGCAUGCUCCUCUAAACCUUUCCCCUUCACUUUAGGUCUUGCAUUUCAUGCUAGUUAGGGUACAUUUGCUUGAAGUGUCCCCUCCGAUAAGGGAAACGAGCGAGUGUGGCUACUCGAUAGCCUUAGCACGCUAGUUUUGCCUUCUAAUCAAAGGGAAAAUCGAAGUCGAAAAAGUUAGGAGUCAUUCCCAUACCCGACCUGAUGCAUUCCUUUAGGUUCAUUCAUUCUCAAUUUUUCACUUACUCACUUUUUUCAAUUCACCUUUCCUCAUUACUUUUCCUUUCCUUAUUGUUCAAUUUUGGUUUCUACUUCACAAAAUUGCACUUAAUUACGAUCUAUAUACACUUAUCACUAUAUUUCAUACACUUGCACACAAACACUUGGAUUUUUCAUACAAUUUCACACAUGCACCUUUUCAUACACUGGCACACAAACACUUGGAUUUUUUAUACAAUUUCACACGUGCAUCUUUUUAUACACUUACACACUUGCACUUGAGUCACCAUUUGCAUCAAUCGACCUCUAUGAGGUUUCCCUUUAUUGGCCGCCACAAUUCAUGUGGUCUGGGACCAAAAACCUCACGAGAGACAUCAUAGAAUUUAGGAUUGCAUUUUUUCUUUCUUUUGCAUUCAUGUAGUGCAUCCAAAUGUAAUAAAUUCUUUGGUUAAAACAAGAAAAUCUUUGAUUAAAUCAUGCAACUAGCCUUGGCUAGGUCGAAGGGGUGCCUUGGAUUUUUAUCCUUGCCUUCCCCUUCGUCAAAUGUGACUCCCGAACCUUUUUCAUUGGUUUACGUGGACUAGGAGUCGUUUAAAAGGGGUUUUACAACUUUUUCCUAAAAAAUUCAUUUUUAGGUGACUUGGUACACCUUAACUCAUUACCAAGUGGCGACUCCCAUUUUUUCAAAAACCCCUUUUAAACUAUAAUUUUGGGUCAAAUCGUCGCAUUCUCAACCCCCCAUUUAGACCCAUUUUUCUUUUAAAUCAUAAUUCAUUUUCCAAAUCACAAAUUGAAUCAAAAAAUACAUUUUUAAACCAUUUAUUUAUUUAUCAAAAAAUGGGGCGCGACAGAUGAUGAUAUUGAUGGAGGUUUUACAUUCAUCCAUGGUUCCAGAUGUUUUACUGGAAACAUUAACCUUUACCCACCAUAUGUGUGUGUGUGUUUUUUUUACAGUUUCCUUUUUCUUUUCCAAAACUCACUUUCUUCUUGUUGCGAUUGCAGGUGUGAAGAGUUGGCAUUCUCACCAAUCUUCAUAUAUUUCAAAGGUAAGGCUUUAAUAUUUUGCUAAGUAAUUAUGCAAGGAAAAUUGUGUUAAGUUGACUAGAGUAGUUGUCGGGUUCUUAGACUAAAAAAUUUGUAGGAUCUUCAUGUCAUGGUAGUUUGAAUUCUAUUUCUCUUUCAUAGUUUUUUGUACUAGAAUUUCUUCUUAACUUUUGUGUGAAAGAACUGCUUUUGAUGGCUUACUUGAAGAAAGUAGGAGUAAUUGAAAUUGAUAUUUUAAAUCUGAGAAGUGGAUGAUGCCAUAGAGCUGGCACUGCAACCAGAGAGACUUACAACAUGCUGUUAUGGCUUCCACUUGAAAUCUGGAGGUGGAAGAACUAAAAUUGGACUGCAAACAACAAAAUUCAGGACCAUAUCAUGUGUAUGUAUGGAACAUAAAAUGGGAGGUAUGUAAGUGCCACCAAAUUUUGAUGGUUUACACAAUGAAUUGGUUAUUACUUUAUUUGAUAAUUAGAAUAUUUUGAUACAGUAUUGCGAUCGAACAAGUUGUGGUGACAUAUUUCUUGCUCAGGUAGACUUCACAUAAAGGGCAAUCUUCAGCACCUGAAUUCAAGUAUUUGUAGUGAUGUGAAGCUAGGGCUGCAAAGAAAAGAAAGGAAUCAUUGCGUUCUUCUUACUCUAACAUCACGCCAACUCUCAAUAGCCAAUACAAGUUAGGGCAUAAUUGCAUUGAUCCACCGCGCAUAGCGUGGAGACCACCUCCUAGUUUCUUUUCUAAGAGCAAAAGGCUACGAUAGUCUCUA
rnacentral:lncRNA from 1 species